rnacentral:rRNA from 1 species
UACGGAGGGUGCGAGCGUUGUCCGGAAUCACUGGGCGUAAAGGGCGCGUAGGCGGCGCGGGCAGUCAACGGUGAAAGCUUGGGGCUCAACCCCGAGUCGGCCGUCGAUACUCCCGGGCUGGAGCACUGUAGAGGCAGGUGGAAUUCCGGGUGUAGCGGUGGAAUGCGUAGAGAUCCGGAAGAACACCGGUGGCGAAGGCGGCCUGCUGGGCAGUAGCUGACGCUGAGGCACGAAGGCCAGGGGAGCAAACGGGG